GCCCUCCUCUCCCCUACCCUAUCUCUUACCAGCGCUGGACCUUAUCCAUUCAGUUCUCUCGAUCCAUUUCUCUCAGCUCUAUGAAAAAUCAACCCCAGAUCCAACAAGCGCUAGCCCCAAAUCUCGACGACCGCCGUUGCCGCAAAUUCCAGCGACGUCGGCGACCUCCGCGUCCCACAUCCCAUCCUCUCUCUCUUGUUCCAAGCCCCACGACCUCCACUCCGUUUUUGUUACGGGCCAAGCACGGGAGCUGGAACCACAUGCGGCUCGUGCCGAGUCGUCGGUGCGCUGCCUACCGUCUGAUCCAAAGCUGAAGCAGCACCGCGAGGUGUUGCAACCGGAGCUGGAACCGGCGAACUUCAGAGCUACCAACCCACGCAGGUGGUGAUUUUAGCUGCGCCUUUUUGCUGGAUUUUGGUGGAACCAAUGUUCUGUUUUGCUGGAACUAGCCUUUUCGUUUGCUACAAUCGAACCAGUGGGAUCCCCUAUUGAUUUUAUUUGCUAGAACCAAUGUUUUUUUCAGCUGAAACUAGCAAUCCUUUUUGCUAUAACCUUUUAUUAACAAACAGUAUAACGUAGCCAGCUAGGAGGCACCUCGUUCAUUUUCCCACGUCAACCAUUGGAUCAUUUAACGAGUGGUGUCGAUCUUUCCUUCGCAUCUCAGCACGGUCGUCGCUGCAGCAGGCCCAUCGUCUCUUUGGGCCGCUGCUCCGAAGACUGACCUAGGAGAACUAUGGUUGACUGGGCUUGUUUGUGUGGGUAACAUAUUAUUUGCCUCGUUCAGCGUGGUUAGCCCAUCACAAAAGCAAUCGACACGGCAGCGAUGCCUGCAGCGGCAUGGGCUGUAGAAGUGUUGUUAACCCUUUCGAUUGGCAAAGGUGUAUCGUACUUCUUGUGAAACAUUUUUUUCAAUCUCCAGUCUAAAACUUGAAUGGGCGCUGGUCAUUCAAAAAACUUGCGUCUGGAAAUGUGUGCUCAGUUUUCCAAUCACACUACAUUGCAAACCAGUUAAUUUUCUCCUUUUGCCAACUUACCAAUGUAUAGGUUGAUUUAUGCAAAUUAACAUCCAUGUUUAUCUUGUAUUGAUGGAAAUUCCUAUUAAUCUAUUGUAAAAAUGAACGGGCGCAGCAACGCGCGCCAUCAUGGUCUAGUGUUUUGCUACAAUCGAACCAUUGGAGUCUCCCAGCUGAGUUAUUUAUUUGUUGGAAACAUUCUUUAUUUUUGUUGGAAAUAGCAAUCCUUUUUGCUACAAAUGAACCACCAGAUUUUCUUCACUGAUUUUUUUUGUUGGAACCGAUUUCUUUUUUUCUGGAACCUGCUAAUGUUUUUGCUUCAACGGAAUCGGCCGGCGAAUAAGUUGCUUCCACACCGACCAGUUCUGGAAUCGGACGAGCAGACAAGUCGUUUUGCUGGAAUCGGCCUUUUGUUUUGCUACAACCGGCAAAGUUUUUGCUACUUCGGUGAGGUGUUUAUUGCGACAGUCGGCAGCAACGAACAUGGUGGUGGGAGCUGAUGAUGCGUCAAGCCAGAGUUGGACGAUGAAGGCGAUGCUACUACCUUCAUUAGCGGAUGCUACAACCUUCAAUGGCGGGAGCAACAAGCAGCGAUGGCGAGAUGGGAAACCUAUGACCAUGGAGUCGAUUUGCUGGGACGGGGGAGGGCGGUGGUGGCAGAGCUGCAACAGCGCACUGGUGGUGGAGAGUGUGCCCCCUACAACCAUGGGGCGGUCGGGCGCGGCGACAGCGACCUCUGGCGCGCCGGCACAAGCAAACUGACGGCAAGCACGAGUCAUGGGGCGGCCGAAGAGCGCAUGUCGCGCGGCCAUGGGGGAGGACGGCAAGCGUGGAUGAGGACGAGCGCAACCGGAUGAGGACGAGCGGUUGCGUUGGGCUCUGUCCCCUUUUUUUCUUUAGAUGACUGACAAAUCGUACGGUUUAAAAGUGACGUAUCGUGCGGCCCAAAUUUGGGCCGGCGUGCCGGCGCCUAUCACUCCCCUUUGAGUUAACAAAGCCAUCAACCGACUUACAACA